rnacentral:lncRNA from 1 species
GAAGAAAGUAAAUAAAUGAAAAUAGAAAGGAAGCUAGAGAAAGAGAGAAAGAAAGAAAGAAAGAGAGAGAAAGAGAGAAUGAAUGAGAGAAAGAAAGAAAGAGGAAGAGAAAGAGAGAGGAAGAAAGAAUAAAUGAGAGAGAAAAAAAGAAGAAAGAAAGAAAAAAGAAAGGAAGAGAGGAAGAAAAGAGAGAGAAAGAAUUUUUUUUCAUUUUACUUUCCCUGAAUCCUUCCCCAGAGUGUUCAGAAAUAUCAAAUAUGAGCUGAAUAAGUAGUGGAAAGACAAGGAUUCAUCCGUUCCACAGACUACAAACCUGGCCGAUAGAGGGAAUAUUUCAUUUUAGAUCAAAUGAUUCACUGUCAUCUUUGUCUGAUAUUACAACAUAGUGACCACACAACUAUCCUCAAUGGUAUUUGACUACAUGGAUUCUGUAAAAAGAUGAAGCUUAAGAACACUAUUUUUUUUCAAGUGCAAUAUACUGUAGUCAUAAGAUGAAUGGGGUCUUGUCCAUAUAUCUACAUGAAAUUUAGAUAAAGCAAGCAAUGUGAAGAACACAUAAUCUCACAUUUUGCAUGUCACACUAUAAAUUCUAUACCAGGUUGUACUUCAUUUUUGCCCUGUUUUUCUCUACCAAAGGGAAACAAAUGAGGAGAGUUCACCAUAUUUGUUUAUUUAUUUAACAUUUGAAAAUCAUAAUCACAGAGUUGAACUUCAUAUUCCUUGGUGUGCUUCAUGUAGCACACCCAAGAUAUAGGUGAGUGGUGGCUUUUUUAUAGGAGAAAUUACAAAGCUUUUUUUCCUACAUCUGAAAACUCACAUCUGAAGUUUUAAAAUGUGUACCUCUCUAAAAGAUACAAUUGCUUUGUCCUCACCUGUGUGAUGAGGUUAGAUGUUGCCAUUCUGUGAAAAGCAAAACCUCAUACCAGAUGUAUUUUGAAUGAAUCCUUGAUUCACAAUGGAAGUUGCUCACAGCUAAAAUGAAAUAUGUGUUGCCUUCUCUCUAGUUUGUUUUCUCAGAUUUCUAAACACAAAGACAAAAAAGGACAGAAAACACUUUGUAUUUGCUAUAACCUUGAGAAUCAGUCCUAAGAGUUAGAUGUCAAAUUGUUGAAUUACUUG